rnacentral:rRNA from 1 species
AUGGAUUUGUUGGCAUGCUUGCUUGUGUUUUGUGCUCUAAAAAUCAUUGUUUAUGUUGUGCAGGUUCUGAACCAGUCCAUAUCCGAGACAACAUUUGGGAAGGUGUCUGAUUUCAUUCAAUCUUUUGCAUCAUUUGCCAAGAAGGAUGAGCCUAGAGCAUUCCGCCGUCCAUGGCAGCGAUUCCAGGAGCGAGCUCCAUCUCCUAUGAUGCUUCUCACAGCCCCAGCAUCCUCAUGGCAGGUCAGGUCUGCAUCACCGAGGUAUUCUGUUUCUGGUGAAAGGGCAGGUCUUCACUUCUGGAUUACUGCCUCCCUUCCCAAUUUACUUGCUAUGUGGAAGGUGGUUGCACUAUGGGGGACAGUGUCCAAGAGAGAGCCACUUAAAUGGUUAGAUGUUGAAGGCAACUGUACAUGUUUUAUUUCACUGUUUUUCAUCUUUUUCUGGAGAUGA